UGACUACGGUACGAUCAGCGACUGGGGUGAAGUCGUAACAAGGUAGCCGUAGGGGAACCUGCGGCUGGAUCACCUCCUUUCUAAGGAAAUCGAAAAAUAUUAAAACAAUUAUUUUCGAUUUAAAAAAAGCCGGUAAUGUGACCGUCCUCAUUUCUCUUCUUUUAAUGUCUCUAAGGUAAAUCAAGGGGCCGGUAGCUCAGUUGGUUAGAGCGCACCCCUGAUAAGGGUGAGGUCGGAAGUUCGAGUCUUCCUCGGCCCACCAAUAUUAUGGGGGAUUAGCUCAGCUGGGAGAGCGCCUGAUUUGCAUUCAGGAGGUCAGCGGUUCGAUCCCGCUAUCCUCCACCAAAUUUGAGACAUUUAGCUUUUUUAAAUUGUGAAUAUUAUUAUCAAUAUCUAUAUCCGAUUGUUUUCAGAUAUUUUUAUGAAAACAAUCAAACAAAAAUUUAAUUUAUUACAGAAAAGUUUUUUCUGUGCAUAAAUCAAGCGUUUAAGGGCGAUUGGCGGAUGCCUUGGCGCUGUAAGACGAUGAAGGACGUUGGUAUACUGCGAUAAGUUUCGGGGAGCUGUAUGCAGGCUUUGAUCCGAAAAUUU
rnacentral:misc_RNA from 1 species